UACAGAGGGCCCAAGCGUUGUUCGGAUUCAUUGGGCGUAAAGGGUGCGUAGGCGGCUCGGUAAGUCGGGGGUGAAAUCUCGGGGCUUAACUCCGAAACUGCAUUCGAUACUGCCGUGCUUGAGUACUGGAGAGGAGACUGGAAUUUACGGUGUAGCGGUGAAAUGCGUAGAUAUCGUAAGGAACACCAGUGGCGAAGGCGGGUCUCUGGACAGUUACUGACGCUGAGGCACGAAGGCGUGGGGAGCAAACGGG
rnacentral:rRNA from 1 species